rnacentral:tRNA from 1 species
GGAGGGGUGGCCGAGUGGUUAAAGGCAGCAGACUGUAAAUCUGCCGGGUGUUCCCUACGCAGGUUCGAAUCCUGCCCCCUCCACCA